rnacentral:rRNA from 1 species
AGUGAACGCUGGCGGUAGGCCUAACACAUGCAAGUCGAACGGCAGCACAGUAAGAGCUUGCUCUUACGGGUGGCGAGUGGCGGACGGGUGAGGAAUACAUCGGAAUCUACUUUUUCGUGGGGGAUAACGUAGGGAAACUUACGCUAAUACCGCAUACGACCUACGGGUGAAAGCAGGGGAUCUUCGGACCUUGCGCGAUUGAAUGAGCCGAUGUCGGAUUAGCUAGUUGGCGGGGUAAAGGCCCACCAAGGCGACGAUCCGUAGCUGGUCUGAGAGGAUGAUCGGCCACACUGGACCUGAGACACGGUCCAGACUCCUACGGGAGGCAGCGGUGGGGAAUAUUGGACAAUGGGCGCAAGCCUGAUCCAGCCAUACCGCGUGGGUGAAGAAGGCCUUCGGGUUGUAAAGCCCUUUUGUUGGGAAAGAAAAGCAGCAGGUUAAUACCCCGCUGUUCUGACGGUACCCAAAGAAUAAGCACCGGCUAACUUCGU